AGCCCCGUGCUGCAAAGGCGCUGGCGGAAGCGCGCUGGUUUACAAACUUCGAAAGCAGCGAUUAGCUCAGGAGAGGAAAAGGAGAACAAACCUCCCUCCGACGAAGCGGCCAAGGUUAGGGAAGGCAGAGCCACCCUCCCGAGGAAAACCCAGCGGCUGCCGCCUCGCGACUCACCCCGGGAAGAGCCAGGCAGGACCGAGUCGGUGGCGGCGGGCAGAAGAGCAUCUCCGCUGCAGCUGACCGGGCUCCAGGCUCAGCCCCGCUUCUCCGCCAGCCCCCCUCCCGCUCGCCGCCCGGAGCCACUCCCGGGAGACUCCUCCCUGAGCAGGAAGGGCGGUGGGACGGCCGAGCCCUCUCAAGGAGCAGGUAGUUUCUUCACGCGUGGAGGAGACGCAAACUUUCCGCCGCCCACCCCGUCGGCGGACACCGGGGCGGCGCUGACCCUUCGCCGCCCCCCCGAGGGACGCCCCCCGACAGCAGCAGCAGCGGCGCCCAAAGAGGGGGGGAUCAGUGGGCUCCCAACGAGCCUCGCCCUCAGAGGGGAGCUGAGCCCUGCCCGUGCGUGGACGGGGCGGGGGGCGAAGCCCACCCCUCGUCGCCCACCUCGGCACCGGCGGGUCUCCGGCGGGGGCGAUGCGCCGUGUCGCUCCCCCCAGGCCGGGCGGCAGCUCCUUUGUGCCAGCCGUCCCGGUGCUUCCCCCUUAGAAAAACUUUCUCCGCCGCUCCCCGGUUCUCCCCCCGGGAGGAAGAGGGGGGGGGACAGACAGCAGGCGAGAGGACCAAGGAGCGGCAGGGGAAGGGCGGAGGGCGAGGAGCGGGGCUUGCCCCGCGGAGGAGCGGCUGACAGAGACUUCGGCCCGCGGGAGAGACGAGAAGAGAGGAGAGGAGAGGCUGGCAGCACCCCGGGGAAGGGGGCGGGGAUGGACCCUGCCCCGGAGCCACCCUUCUCCCCCAAGCGGCGCCCGGGCAGCCCCUGCCGGCGGUGGAGGGGGCCGGGAGAUGGAGGCCAGCGGCGAGGGGAGCCCGCGGCCUCAGCCCAUGCUCGCGAACAAAGCCCUCGGCAGCACCAGGGGAAAACCGAAGUUUCCUGGGUUGUCGGCCUCUUCCCCCCCACCCCAGCACGCAGCCCCAGCCCGACAAUUAAUAACGCUAAUAAUAAAUAA
rnacentral:lncRNA from 1 species